rnacentral:rRNA from 1 species
GAGUUUGAUCAUGGCUCAGAUUGAACGCUGGCGGCAUGCCUUACACAUGCAAGUCGAACGGUAACGCGGGGCAACCUGGCGACGAGUGGCGAACGGGUGAGUAAUGCAUCGGAACGUGCCUGGUAGUGGGGGAUAACUGCUCGAAAGAGCAGCUAAUACCGCAUACGACCUGAGGGUGAAAGGGGGGGAUCGCAAGACCUCUCGCUAUCAGAGCGGCCGAUGUCGGAUUAGCUAGUUGGUGGGGUAAAGGCCCACCAAGGCAACGAUCCGUAGCUGGUCUGAGAGGACGACCAGCCACACUGGGACUGAGACACGGCCCAGACUCCUACGGGAGGCAGCAGUGGGGAAUUUUGGACAAUGGACGCAAGUCUGAUCCAGCCAUGCCGCGUGCGGGAAGAAGGCC